rnacentral:rRNA from 1 species
CCUACGGGUGGCUGCAGUGGGGAAUAUUGGACAAUGGGGGGAACCCUGAUCCAGCCAUGCCGCGUGUGUGAAGAAGGCCCUCGGGUUGUAAAGCACUUUCAGUGAGGAAGAACGCCUGGUGGUUAAUACCCAUCAGGAAAGACAUCACUCACAGAAGAAGCACCGGCUAACUCCGUGCCAGCAGCCGCGGUAAUACGGAGGGUGCGAGCGUUAAUCGGAAUUACUGGGCGUAAAGCGCGCGUAGGUGGCUUGAUAAGCCGGUUGUGAAAGUCCCGGGCUCAACCUGGGAACGGCAUCCGGAACUGUCAAGCUAGAGUGCAGGAGAGGAAGGUAGAAUUCCCGGUGUAGCGGUGAAAUGCGUAGAGAUCGGGAGGAAUACCAGUGGCGAAGGCGGCCUUCUGGACUGACACUGACACUGAGGUGCGAAAGCGUGGGUAGCAAACAGGAUUAGAUACCCUAGUAGUC